UGGGCGCUGGGCUGCUCGGGCUGGGGAGGAAGAAGGGAAGGAGGAGAGAAGGAAUAAAGAAAAAGGGAAAGAAGAGGGCCCGCCCCUGGUCGGCUCUAGUCGGCACUGGCUAAGCCGAAAGGCCAAUCGGCCUGGGUUAGGCCGACUGAGGUCCCAGUCGGCCGGCAGCGAAAGUGCCCGGCUCCAGUCGGCCUGGUUCGGCCAUGUCGACUGGGCCUAAUCGGCCUGGACUAGGCCGAGGCCGUAUUAUUUUUGAAAUUUUUAAAAAACACGUAUUAUUUUUGAAAAUGAUUAAAAAAUAGUAUUAUUUUAAAAAAAUAGCUUUUGGUUAAGGGAAUUCAGGCGGGGAGACGUAGGGUCCCGCCGGCUUCUCUGCCAAUCGUCCGCCCCUCGUCGCCGGACGCCGGUCAUCACCGAUUCAGCGCCAUGUGCUCGUGCCAGUCAGUGCCGGUCCUUGCACGUCCAGAUGGCAAUCAUAAAAGAAAAGAAAAAUGAACGGUGAGACAUAUAGGCCGGAGUACUACCGUCCGGCGCAGUGCAGCUCUCACGGGUCAAAAAAAAAAAUUACGCAUGAAUCCAUCCGACUCUUGGACGCUUUGGGGCAGGGGAAAGCAUGGCAUGUACAUGCACGAAAAGAUUCAGGAUCCAAGGAGAGGGAACAGGGGAUGUCUGGUCGUGCUCGCAAUACGCAGCUAGAGGAUUGAAUUGAAAUGUGCGUGAGCUAGCUAGAGAUUUGCUUCCUUGUUCAUAUACUAGUAGCUCUGUAGUAAAGUGUGAAGAUUCUGUUGCGUUUGGUUAAGAAUGCUUGCAAAUACGGAGAGGGAUCCCCUGUGGACCCAGCCCCACUGUCAGUGACCAUAAAGUCACUAACUUUAAAUCAGGAGAUCCAAGUCCUGCAAAUAUUAUGAGACAUCACAAGGAGGAGUAAAUGUUUAAUGUUGGGAUACAACCCCUUAUUAUUUCUGAAAAAUCUUCAAGACACAUUACAUGGAGAAAGGUUUAGUCUCACCUUACCAAUAGAUGAAGAGUUGCACGACCUUAAAAGAGUCUGUGCACCUGACCCCUUUAGAGCAUG
rnacentral:lncRNA from 1 species